ensembl:snRNA U6 U6 spliceosomal RNA
GUGCUUUCUUUUGCAACAUGUAUUCUAAAAUUGAAAUAAUACAGAGAAGAUUAGUCUGGCCUUAUGUGGGGAUAACUUGCAAAUUCACAAAGUAUUUUAUAUUUUU